CAGUAGCCGCGGUAAAACGUAGGUGACAAGCGUUGUCCGGAAUUAUUGGGCGUAAAGGGCUCGCAGGCGGUUUCUUAAGUCCGAUGUGAAAGCCCCCGGCUCAACCGGGGAGGGUCAUUGGAAACUGGGAAACUUGAGUGCAGAAGAGGAGAGUGGAAUUCCACGUGUAGCGGUGAAAUGCGUAGAGAUGUGGAGGAACACCAGUGGCGAAGGCGACUCUCUGGUCUGUAACUGACGCUGAGGAGCGAAAGCGUGGGGAGCGAACAGGAUUAGAUACCCCCGUAGUCCCUGUCUCUUAUAC
rnacentral:rRNA from 1 species